UGCAAGUCGUGCGGGAAUGACCCUUCGGGGGGUGGACAGCGGCGAAAGGGAGAGUAACGCGUGGAUACCUACCUCGAGGUUCGGGAUAGCUGCGGGAAACUGCGGGUAAUACCGAAUAACAUCUCCGGAUCAAAGGUGUGAUUCCGCCUGGAGAUGGAUCCGCGUCCUAUUAGCUUGUUGGUGGGGUAACGGCCUACCAAGGCGACGAUGGGUACCGGGCGUGAGAGCGUGACCCGGCUCACUGGGACUGAGACACUGCCCAGACACCUACGGGUGGCUGCAGUCGAGAAUCUUCGGCAAUGGACGCAAGUCUGACCGAGCGACGCCGCGUGCGGGAUGAAGGCCUUCGGGUUGUAAACCGCUGUCAGUUGGGAGGAAAUCAUAUGGGGUUCUCUCCAUAUGUUGACCUAUCUUCAGAGGAAGGACGGGCUAAGUUCGUGCCAGCAGCCGCGGUAAAGACGAACCGUCCAAACGUUAUUCGGAAAUUACUGGGCUUAAAGGGUGCG
rnacentral:rRNA from 1 species